GACGAACGCUGGCGGCGUGCUUAACACAUGCAAGUCGAACGGAAAGGCCCUGCUUUUGUGGGGUGCUCGAGUGGCGAACGGGUGAGUAACACGUGAGUAACCUGCCCUUGACUUUGGGAUAACUUCAGGAAACUGGGGCUAAUACCGGAUAGGAGCUCCUGCUGCAUGGUGGGGGUUGGAAAGUUUCGGCGGUUGGGGAUGGACUCGCGGCUUAUCAGCUUGUUGGUGGGGUAGUGGCUUACCAAGGCUUUGACGGGUAGCCGGCCUGAGAGGGUGACCGGCCACAUUGGGACUGAGAUACGGCCCAGACUCCUACGGGAGGCAGCAGUGGGGAAUAUUGCACUAUGGGCGGAAGCCUGAUGCAGCAACGCCGCGUGCGGGAUGACGGCCUUCGGUUUGUAAACCGCUUUCGCCUGUGACGAAGCGUGAGUGACGGUAAUGGGUAAAGAAGCACCGGCUAACUACGUG
rnacentral:rRNA from 1 species